GGGUUAUGCACGAGUCUGACGGAGCACGCCGCGUGAGUGAUGAAGGUUUUCGGAUCGUAAAGCUCUGUUGUUAGGGAAGAACAAGUGCGAGAGUAACUGCUCGCACCUUGACGGUACCUAACCAGAAAGCCACGGCUAACUACGUGCCAGCAGCCGCGGUAAUACGUAGGUGGCAAGCGUUGUCCGGAAUUAUUGGGCGUAAAGGGCUCGCAGGCGGUUUCUUAAGUCUGAUGUGAAAGCCCCCGGCUCAACCGGGGAGGGUCAUUGGAAACUGGGAAACUUGAGUGCAGAAGAGGAGAGUGGAAUUCCACGUGUAGCGGUGAAAUGCGUAGAGAUGUGGAGGAACACCAGUGGCGAAGGCGACUCUCUGGUCUGUAACUGACGCUGAGGAGCGAAAGCGUGGGGAGCGAACAGGAUUAGAUACCCUGGUAGUCCACGCCGUAAACGAUGAGUGCUAAGUGUUAGGGGGUUUCCGCCCCUUAGUGCUGCAGCUAACGCAUUAAGCACUCCGCCUGGGGAGUACGGUCGCAAGACUGAAACUCAAAGAAUUUUGACGGA
rnacentral:rRNA from 1 species